rnacentral:rRNA from 1 species
UACGUAGGCAGCAAGCGUUGUUCGGAAUUACUGGGCGUAAAGAGUGUGUAGGCGGUGCUCUAAGUCUGUUGUGAAAUCUCCCGGCUUAACCGGGAGGGUGCGGCGGAAACUGGAGUGCUUGAGGGUGGGAGAGGUAAGCGGAAUUCCUGGUGUAGCGGUGAAAUGCGUAGAUAUCAGGAGGAACACCUGUGGUGUAGACAGCUUACUGGACCAUUUCUGACGCUGAGACACGAAAGCGUGGGUAGCAAACAGG